UUGGCGGUAUUUUAGUCUAUUCAGAGGAACCUGGUUUGUAAUCGAGAAUCCACGAUGGACCUUACUUAAGUUUGUAUUCAGUUUAUAUACCGUCGUUAUUAGAAUAUUUUAUAAGAAAGUUAAUUUUCAAGAUUUUUAAAGAGAAAAUAUAUCAGAUCAAGGUGUAGCUUAUAUUUAAGUAUAAAUGGGUUACAAUAAAAUUAUUUAAACGAAUAUAAAUUUGAAAAAUUUAUUGAAGGUGGAUUUGAUAGUAAAAUUAUAAAGAUUAAUAAUUUGAUUUUAGCUCUAAAAUAUGCACACAUCGCCCGUCACUCUUACUAUUAAGGUAAGAUAAGUCGUAACAUAGUAGAUGUACUGGAAAGUGUACCUAGAAUGCAAUUUAAAGCUUAUUCAGUAAAGCAUUUCAUUUACAUUGAAAAGAUUUUUGUGCAAAUCAAUAUAAAUUGAUUAGAUUUUAUUUAUUAAUUGUUUUUUUUUAUUCAAUAAAUUAUUAAAAAUAAUUAUUAAGAGAUUUGUUUUAGUAUUUUAUAAAGAAAAAAUAAUUUUAAUUAUAGUUAAAUAGUAUUGUGAAAGAAAAUUGAAAUAAUUUGAAAAAU
rnacentral:rRNA from 1 species